AUACCUUCUCGGCCUUUGGCUAAGAUCAAGUGUAGUAUCUGUUCUAAUCAGUGUGAAAACUGGUUUCCCUGCUUUUGGUGGGGUCUUUUUCACAUUUAUUUUUGGAACUGCUGCUUUCGGUUAGCUUGCUAGCCAAUCGCGGUACGGUCUCCGGGGGCUUUCACCUAUCCCUCGUGAGGCCAACUACUA
rfam:Phytophthora sojae unplaced genomic scaffold PHYSOscaffold_5, whole genome shotgun sequence.